rnacentral:rRNA from 1 species
UACGUGGGUGGCGAGCGUUGUCCGGAUUUACUGGGCGUAAAGAGCGCGCAGGCGGUCGUGCAAGUCGCGUGUGAAAGCCCCCGGCUCAACUGGGGAGGGUCACGCGAUACUGCUCGACUCGAAGGCAGGAGAGGGAAGUGGAAUUCCCGGUGUAGUGGUGAAAUGCGUAGAUAUCGGGAGGAACACCAGUGGCGAAGGCGACUUCCUGGCCUGUUCUUGACGCUGAGGCGCGAAAGCUAGGGUAGCAAACGGG